UACAGAGGUCUCAAGCGUUGUUCGGAUUCAUUGGGCGUAAAGGGUGCGUAGGUGGCGCCGUAAGUCAGGUGUGAAAUUUCGGAGCUUAACUCCGAAACUGCAUUUGAUACUGCGGUGCUUGAGGACUGGAGAGGAGACUGGAAUUUACGGUGUAGCAGUGAAAUGCGUAGAGAUCGAUAGGAAGACCAGUGGCGAAGGCGGGUCUCUGGACAGUUCCUGACACUGAGGACGAAGGCCAGGGGAGCAAACGGGAUUAGAACGUACCCAG
rnacentral:rRNA from 1 species